rnacentral:tRNA from 1 species
AAUCUUAUAUUCAAUGUAAUAUGAUAUUAAAUUGCAAAUUUAAAGUAAUAGUUAAUAAAUUAUUAAGAUUU